rnacentral:rRNA from 1 species
UGUAUAAUGGGUCAGCGACUUAUAUUCUGUAGCAAGGUUAACCGAAUAGGGGAGCCGAAGGGAAACCGAGUCUUAACUGGGCGUUAAGUUGCAGGGUAUAGACCCGAAACCCGGUGAUCUAGCCAUGGGCAGGUUGAAGGUUGGGUAACACUAACUGGAGGACCGAACCGACUAAUGUUGAAAAAUUAGCGGAUGACUUGUGGCUGGGGGUGAAAGGCCAAUCAAACCGGGAGAUAGCUGGUUCUCCCCGAAAGCUAUUUAGGUAGCGCCUCGUGAAUUCAUCUCCGGGGGUAGAGCACUGUUUCGGCAAGGGGGUCAUCCCGACUUACCAACCCGAUGCAAACUGCGAAUACCGGAGAAUGUUAUCACGGGAGACACACGGCGGGUGCUAACGUCCGUCGUGAAGAGGGAAACAACCCAGACCGCCAGCUAAGGUCCCAAAGUCAUGGUUAAGUGGGAAACGAUGUGGGAAGGCCCAGACAGCCAGGAUGUUGGCUUAGAAGCAGCCAUCAUUUAAAGAAAGCGUAAUAGCUCACUGGUCGAGUCGGCCUGCGCGGAAGAUGUAACGGGGCUAAACCAUGCACCGAAGCUGCGGCAGCGACGCUUAUGCGUUGUUGGGUAGGGGAGCGUUCUGUAAGCCUGCGAAGGUGUGCUGUGAGGCAUGCUGGAGGUAUCAGAAGUGCGAAUGCUGACAUAAGUAACGAUAAAGCGGGUGAAAAGCCCGCUCGCCGGAAGACCAAGGGUUCCUGUCCAACGUUAAUCGGGGCAGGGUGAGUCGACCCCUAAGGCGAGGCCGAAAGGCGUAGUCGAUGGGAAACAGGUUAAUAUUCCUGUACUUGGUGUUACUGCGAAGGGGGGACGGAGAAGGCUAUGUUGGCCGGGCGACGGUUGUCCCGGUUUAAGCGUGUAGGCUGGUUUUCCAGGCAAAUCCGGAAAAUCAAGGCUGAGGCGUGAUGACGAGGCACUACGGUGCUGAAGCAACAAAUGCCCUGCUUCCAGGAAAAGCCUCUAAGCAUCAGGUAACAUCAAAUCGUACCCCAAACCGACACAGGUGGUCAGGUAGAGAAUACCAAGGCGCUUGAGAGAACUCGGGUGAAGGAACUAGGCAAAAUGGUGCCGUAACUUCGGGAGAA